UGGGGAAUAUUGCACAAUGGACGAAAGUUUGAUGCAGCGACGCCGCGUGGAGGGUGUAGGCCUUCGGGUUGUGAACUCCUUUUUCUCGCGAAAAAGGCACAGUUUUGGCUGUGUUGAUGGUAGUGGGGGAAGAAGCGCCGGCUAACUACGUGCCAGCAGCCGCGGUAAUACGUAGGGCGCGAGCGUUGUCCGGAUUUAUUGGGCGUAAAGCGCGCGCAGGUGGUUUAGAAAGUCUGAUGUGAAAGCCCACGGCUCAACCGUGGAGGGUCAUUGGAAACUAAUAAACUUGAGUGCAGGAGAGAAAAGUGGAAUUCCUAGUGUAGCGGUGAAAUGCGUAGAGAUUAGGAGGAACACCGGUGGCGAAAGCGGCUUUUUGGCCUGCAACUGACACUGAGGCGCGAAAGCGUGGGGAGCAAACAGG
rnacentral:rRNA from 1 species